rnacentral:tRNA from 1 species
AGAUGAGUGGCGCAGUGGAAGCGUGCUGGGCCCAUAACCCAGAGGGCCGAGGAUCGAAACCUUGCUCUGCUA